GGGUUCGCGCUUUGGUCCUGGAGGCCUUAUCCUAGCCUCCUCUGUAUCAGCGCCACCAGUCUGGGGCCCGAAAGGAGGGAGCUUUCCCUCUGUCCCCCAGCCUUUGGACUGUCACCAAACAAGCCAUUCGUUCACCAAAUACUUAUUAAGCGCCUACCAUGUGCCUGACAAGGGAGAUGUAACGAUAGAGUCUCUCUCUCUGCCACCCAGGCCAGAGUGCAGUUGACGCAGGGCAGGGGAGCCCCGAAGUGGAGCAUAGUGUGUCCGGAACUGGUGGGUUCUUGGUCUCCCUGACUUCAAGAAUGAAGCCACGGACCCUCGGGAAACUCCUGGAGGGCAGAGGCAUGCCUGCCAUCUUCAUCAUUGCAUUACCACCACCCAACACUAUCGGGGGACCUGCCCUGAUAAUCAGUCUACAGGUGUAUCCAGCAGCUCCAGAGAGACAGCGACCAGCGAGAAGGGGCCAUGAUGAUGGAGGUGGUUUUGUCAAAACGAAAAUGGGGAUAUGUAGGGAAAAGAAAGAGAGAUCAGACUGUUACUGUGUCUACAUAGAAAGGGAAGACAUAAGAGACUCCAUUUUGAAAAAGACCUGUACUUUAAACAAUUGCUUUGCUGAGAUGUUGUUAAUCUGUAGCUUUGCCCCAGCCACUUUGCCCCAACCACUUUGACCCAAUCUGGAGCUCAUAAAAACAUGUGUUGUAUGAAAUCAAGGUUUAAGGCAUGUAGGGCUGUGCAGGACGUGCCUUGUUAACCAAAUGUUUGCAAGCAGUAUACUUGGUAAAAGUCAUCACCAUUCUCUCGUCUCAAUAAACCAGGGGCACAAUGCACUGUGGAAAGCCGCAGGGACCUCUGCCCUUGAAAGCUGGGUAUU